rnacentral:rRNA from 1 species
CCUGGUUGAUCCUGCCAGUAAUCAUAUGCUUGUCUCAAAGAUUAAGCCAUGCAUGUCUAAGUACAUGCCGAAAUAAGGCGAAACCGCGAAUGGCUCAUUAAAUCAGUUAUGGUUCCUUAGAUUGUUUCUUCCUACUUGGAUAACUGUGGCAAUUCUAGAGCUAAUACAUGCAGUGAGCCCUUGUGUCCUUUUUGGCCAGCGGGUGCUUUUAUUAGACCAAGAUCGAUCGGGUUUCGGCCCGUAUUGUGUGGUGACUCUGGAUAACUUUGUGCUGAUCGCAUGGCCACGAGCCGGCGACGUUUCUUUCAAGUGUCUGCCUUAUCAACUUUCGAUGGUAGGUUACUUGCUUACCAUGGUUGUUACGGGUAACGGAGAAUCAGGGUUCGAUUCCGGAGAGGGAGCCUGAGAAACGGCUACCACAUCCAAGGAAGGCAGCAGGCGCGCAAAUUACCCACUCCCGGCACGGGGAGGUAGUGACGAAAAAUAACAAUACGGGACUCUUUUGAGGCCCCGUAAUUGAAAUGAGUACACUCUAAAUCCUUUAACGAGGAUCAAUUGGAGGGCAAGUCUGGUGCCAGCAGCCGCGGUAAUUCCAGCUCCAAUAGCGUAUACUAAAGCUGCUGCGGUUAAAAAGCUCGUAGUUGGAUCUCAGUUCCAGACGAGUAGUGCAUCUACCCGAUGCGACGGCUCGGACUGAACAUCAUGCCGGUCGUUUCUUGGUGCACUUCAUUGUGUGCCUCGAGAUGGCCGGUGCUUUUACUUUGAAAAAAUUAGAGUGCUCAACGCAGGCGAUUCGCCUGAAUAACAGUGCAUGGAAUAAUAGAACAAGAUCCUGUUUCUGUUCUGUUGGUUUUUGGAAUACAGGAUAAUGAUUAAGAGGGACAGACGGGGGCAUUCGUAUUGCGGCGCUAGAGGUGAAAUUCUUGGACCGUCGCAAGACGAACUACUGCGAAAGCAUUUGCCAAGAAUGUUUUCUUUGAUCAAGAACGAAAGUUAGAGGUUCGAAGGCGAUCAGAUACCGCCCUAGUUCUAACCAUAAACGAUGCCAACCAGCGAUCCGCCUGAGUUACUCAAAUGACUCGGCGGGCAGCUUCCGGGAAACCAAAGUAUUUGGGUUCCGGGGGAAGUAUGGUUGCAAAGCUGAAACUUAAAGGAAUUGACGGAAGGGCACCACCAGGAGUGGAGCCUGCGGCUUAAUUUGACUCAACACGGGAAAACUUACCCGGCCCGGACACUGGGAGGAUUGACAGAUUGAGAGCUCUUUCUUGAUUCGGUGGAUGGUGGUGCAUGGCCGUUCUUAG